rnacentral:rRNA from 1 species
AGGAAAGCAGGGGAUCGCAAGACCUUGCGCUUUUGGAGCAGCCGAUGUCUGAUUAGCUAGUUGGUGAGGUAAAGGCUUACCAAGGCUUCGAUCAGUAGCUGGUCUGAGAGGACGACCAGCCACACUGGGACUGAGACACGGCCCAGACUCCUACGGGAGGCAGCAGUGGGGAAUUUUGGACAAUGGGGGAAACCCUGAUCCAGCCAUGCCGCGUGAGUGAAGAAGGCCUUCGGGUUGUAAAGCUCUUUCAGCCGGAACGAAAAGGUUACGGUUAAUACCCGUGACUAAUGACGGUACCGGAAGAAGAAGCACCGGCUAACUACGUGCCAGCAGCCGCGGUAAUACGUAGGGUGCGAGCGUUAAUCGGAAUUACUGGGCGUAAAGCGUGCGCAGGCGGUUUUGUAAGUCAGAUGUGAAAUCCCCGGGCUCAACCUGGGAACUGCGUUUGAAACUACAAGGCU